AAAAAAAAAAAAGAAAAAAAGAAAAAGCCAGAGCCUCAAUAACACCUUGAAAAAAAUAUCAGCCCCUUUAUAUUUAGAGAAAUUAGAGGGGGGUUGUUUGUCUGUUUGUUUUUUAAUAGAAGAAUUCAGUGUUAUCCAGAACUGCUUCUUCCCAUCCGACUUAAAGAAAGGUCUUUUUUAAAGGCUGUCUGUCAUAGGAUACACCUAUGUCUUGUUGCCAAGCCAGAAUCCCAUGGGACCUGUCUCUUCAUUUUAGAAGUGCUGAGAUAUUAGACAUUUGUUGGCUUUUCAGAUCAAUUUCCUCUACAGCUGUUAUUUUCCAUAAUUGUCAGCUGGAAACAUUUGACCAGAACCAGGGUGUUGCACAUUUUUCAUGGGCAUAUUUCUCUUCCCUACUAAUGGGUCUAAUAUGUGCAUAAACAGCAUGGUAAGUGAAGUGCAUACCUAUUCUGAAUUGGCUACUACUCUCCUGCUCAAAGCACGUGUCUGGGUCAGGUAAGGACACAUCAGCUUGUGCUAGUGGACUAAGGACAAAAAGCUCUGCUUCUAUUAAUUAGCAAAAAAAUAACCCUGAAGAACUAUCCUGCAAUUGUUCUUGGUGAGUGUCUCAUUCAUGCCAGAAUGCAAACCAUAGCAGAAAAUACCACUAGCAGAUAUAAAUUUGUUUUAAUAAAAAAAAAAAGUGCAUUUUAGUUAUAUUAUUAUGCUACUUUGGGAAACUGUGUGAGUACGAUAUGCUCAAUGUGAAGGUGAUUUGUAUUGUCUACCAUGAGAUGAUUUUUUGCCUGUAUAUUCUUCAAAGAGCUUCAUGUUUUUUUUCUGUCUUUCAGGACAGAAGGCGUUUCCAGUUGCAUUGGACCAACUCGAAGCUAUCGCUCAUGCAAUAUUCAGAGCUGUCCAGAAGGCUCCAGGGAUUUCCGGGCAGAGCAAUGUGCAGAGUUCGAUGGGACAGAAUUCCAAGGAAAGAAAUACACGUGGCUUCCGUAUUACGGAGCACCCAAUAAAUGUGAGUUAAACUGUAUUCCCAAGGGAGAAAACUUCUACUACAGGCACAAGGAAGCUGUGGUAGAUGGGACUACCUGUGAACCUGGCAAGCGGGAUAUCUGUGUAGAGGGAGUUUGUCAGGUGAGUCAUCCUGUUGUUUCCUUCCUUUACCAUUGCUUCUGUAAGUCUUUUAGGUGCUUUCCUUUGUUCUUCUUGGCCCUUCAUAAUAAUACCUGGAAAGUGCAUUCAUUCAGUUUCUGAGGUGCUGAGGGACAUGUUAACAGUUCUUAUCUCUCUGUCUCUGGAAGCAAAACAGAAGAUGCCAACUCUGUCCUUCCACUGACAGCUCCUUCCCUGACUUCCCAGACUCCCUAGACUCAUGUUUUCUCAUUAAAUCAGUCCAACAUUUGACCAUUUUUUCUUUCUUUCCCUCAUUGUUAUGGUUUAUUCAUAUUG
rnacentral:lncRNA from 1 species